ensembl:snRNA U6 U6 spliceosomal RNA
CCUUGCAGAGAAGAUUAGCAUGGUCCCUGUGCAAGGAUGGCACACAAAUUCGUGAAGCGUUCCAUAUUUUU